ensembl:snoRNA small nucleolar RNA U3
AAGACUAUACUUUCAGGGAUCAUUUCUAUAGUUUCUUAUUGUGGAAAUGUGUUUCUAAAGAGUGUGGUCUCACUAACCAUGAUGAUGAGUUGGGACAUUCUCUUCUGAGCAGGAAAUAGACAGAGAGAAAUGAUGUGUUCAUGGACUCUUUGUCAUUGAUGACUGUUCUCCACUUCUCAAUGAAGCAGAGAGAAAGAGCAUGUGUUCAUAGUGGUU